AGAGUUUGAUCAUGGCUCAGGAUGAACGCUGGCGGCGUGCCUAACACAUGCAAGUCGAGCGAAGCACUUUACUCUGAUUUCUUCGGAAUGAAGAGUGAUUUGACUGAGCGGCGGACGGGUGAGUAACGCGUGGGUAACCUGCCUCACACAGGGGGAUAACAGUUAGAAAUGACUGCUAAUACCGCAUAAGGCCACAGCACCGCAUGGUGCAGGGGUAAAAACUCCGGUGGUGUGAGAUGGGCCCGCGUCUGAUUAGUUAGUUGGCGGGGUAACGGCCCACCAAGACGACGAUCAGUAGCCGACCUGAGAGGGUGACCGG
rnacentral:rRNA from 1 species